AGUGAACGCUGGCGGUAGGCCUAACACAUGCAAGUCGAACGGCAGCACAGUAAGAGCUUGCUCUUACGGGUGGCGAGUGGCGGACGGGUGAGGAAUACAUCGGAAUCUACUUUUUCGUGGGGGAUAACGUAGGGAAACUUACGCUAAUACCGCAUACGACCUACGGGUGAAAGCAGGGGAUCUUCGGACCUUGCGCGAUUGAAUGAGCCGAUGUCGGAUUAGCUAGUUGGCGGGGUAAAGGCCCACCAAGGCGACGAUCCGUAGCUGGUCUGAGAGGAUGAUCAGCCACACUGGAACUGAGAGACGGUCCAGACUCCUACGGGAGGCAGCAGUGGGGAAUAUUGGACAAUGGGCGCAAGCCUGAUCCGGCCAUACCGCGUGGGUGAAGAAGGCCUUCGGGUUGUAAAGCCCUUUUGUUGGGAAAGAAAAGCAGCAGGUUAAUACCCCGCUGUUCUGACGGUACCCAAAGAAUAAGCACCGGCUAACUUCGUG
rnacentral:rRNA from 1 species